GAUGAACGCUGGCGGCGUGCCUAAUACAUGCAAGUCGAGCGAACGGACGAGAAGCUUGCUUCUCUGAUGUUAGCGGCGGACGGGUGAGUAACACGUGGAUAACCUACCUAUAAGACUGGGAUAACUUCGGGAAACCGGAGCUAGUACCGGAUAAUAUUUUGAACCGCAUGGUUCAAAAGUGAAAGCCGGUCUUGCUGUCACUUAUAGAUGGAUCCGCGCUGCAUUAGCUAGUUGGUAAGGUAACGGCUUACCAAGGCAACGAUGCAUAGCCGACCUGAGAGGGUGAUCGGCCACACUGGAACUGAGACACGGUCCAGACUCCUACGGGAGGCAGCAGUAGGGAAUCUUCCGCAAUGGGCGAAAGCCUGACGGAGCAACGCCGCGUGAGUGAUGAAGGUCUUCGGAUCGUAAAACUCUGUUAUUAGGGAAGAACAUAUGUGUAAGUAACUGUGCACAUCUUGACGGUACCUAAUCAGAAAGCCACGGCUAACUACGUG
rnacentral:rRNA from 1 species